rnacentral:tRNA from 1 species
GUAGAAGUAGUUUAAUUAAAACAUCAGGUUGUGGUUCUGAAAAUAGGGGUGAAAUCCCCCCCGUUUACC